AAGAACGAAUGAACAAACGAAUGAUGAAAAGAAAAUAGUGGGGUGAGUUUGUGUAUAAUGAACGAAUGAACAAACGAAUGAUGAAAGGAAAAUAGUGGGGUGAGUUUGUGUAUAAUGAACGAAUGAACAAACGAAUGAUGAAAGGAAAAUAGUGGGGUGAGUUUGUGUAUAAUGACCGAAUGAACAAACGAAUGAUGAAAGGAAAAUAGUGGGGUGAGUUUGUGUAUAAUGAACGAAUGAACAAACGAAUGAUGAAAGGAAAAUAGUGGGGUGAGUUUGUGUAUAAUGAACGAAUGAACAAACGAAUGAUGAAAGGAAAAUAGUGGGGUGAGUUUAGUUGGAUAAAAAAUUUUAACGAAUUGAUGAUGCAAACUUAGUUAAUUGGUAAAUUAGGGGAAUGGAAUGUUUGUAAAAUUUAAAGUUUUUGUAAAAAAUUUUUAAAACAAAAAUUAAUGAUGAAAAGCGGAAAGGUCCCUAGAUCAUUGCAAAAAUGACAAAAUUUUUGUGAUUUUUUUGCAAAAUUGACAAGAAAAAAUGAGAAAAAUCAUGUCUUGCGUGCAUUAAUUAAACGGCAACUUGAUGAGAGACGUAAUUGAAGAGCCAAGCCAAUAGCGCCUGACGGUGAAUCAGUGCAACAGCAUGAGACCGAGUAGCAUCCUGCAUACCAUAUCAUUAAUUUACACGCGAAAGUGAGAAAACCGCUCGCCGACCAUAAGGCGCACACGUCCACCAUAUAUGGUAGCCCACUGGCGGAGCACUCUGAAGGGCUUAUUGAGAUCUACCCCAAAAAAAAAAACCAAAAGUUUAGAAAAGAGAAAAUGCCGCGAUCACGGGGUCCGAGUUGGCCAAGCAUCCCCAACCAUUAGUAACGGAGCGCAAGUUUAGGAAAAUUAAGCAAGUUAUGGCCCUGACCGAGGAACCAGAGGCGACAAAGAGCAAGUUAUGAGAGCGGGUUUUUAGGGGCAGAAGAAAGAAUACACCUGAAGCUGGACAUGAUAAACAUUACUAACGCCGGGUUGCUGGUUUCUCGUGAGGGGUACGAUUAAUAAAUAACCCAGCACUUCUUGGUCAGCGCGUAGAGCAAGGUUAAGUGGUGAGGGGUCCUGAACGGGGGAUUCUAGGUCCUGUGACGUUCCUCGUAUUGUAAAGGAAUUUAUGCGAAAAUUAACGAGUUUAGGUUUUAGUUCGUUUAGCGGAAUUAUUCCUAGAACAUGACAUGGUAUGGGGUUAAGUAGAAAUGUGCCUAGGUAUGUUUAUGUCUUGGUUUGGGGUGUAUGGGAGAAAGCAUGAAAAUUUGGUUGGUUUUGCAAUAAUGGUGUACCCGAUUUUCCUACAUGGAUGUUAUGUCUAAUGUGGUGGAGAA